rnacentral:rRNA from 1 species
CCGAAUGGGGAAACCCAGUGUGAUUCGUCACACUAUCAUUAACUGAAUCCAUAGGUUAAUGAGGCGAACCGGGGGAACUGAAACAUCUAAGUACCCCGAGGAAAAGAAAUCAACCGAGAUUCCCCCAGUAGCGGCGAGCGAACGGGGAGGAGCCCAGAGCCUGAAUCAGCAUGUGUGUUAGUGGAAGCGUCUGGAAAGGCGCGCGAUACAGGGUGACAGCCCCGUACACAAAAGCGCAUGUGCUGUGAGCUCGAUGAGUAGGGCGGGACACGUGGUAUCCUGUCUGAAUAUGGGGGGACCAUCCUCCAAGGCUAAAUACUCCUGACUGACCGAUAGUGAACCAGUACCGUGAGGGAAAGGCGAAAAGAACCCCGGCGAGGGGAGUGAAAAAGAACCUGAAACCGUGUACGUACAAGCAGUGGGAGCNNNNNNNNGUUAACCGUAUAGGGGAGCCGGAGGGAAACCGAGUCUUAACCGGGCGUUAAGUUGCAGGGUAUAGACCCGAAACCCGGUGAUCUAGCCAUGGGCAGGUUGAAGGUUGGGUAACACUAACUGGAGGACCGAACCGACUAAUGUUGAAAAAUUAGCGGAUGACCUGUGGCUGGGGGUGAAAGGCCAAUCAAACCGGGAGAUAGCUGGUUCUCCCCGAAAGCUAUUUAGGUAGCGCCUCGUGAAUUCAUCUCCGGGGGUAGAGCACUGUUUCGGCUAGGGGGCCAUCCCGGCUUACCAACCCGAUGCAAACUGCGAAUACCGGAGAAUGUUAUCACGGGAGACACACGGCGGGUGCUAACGUCCGUCGUGAAGAGGGAAACAACCCAGACCGCCAGCUAAGGUCCCAAAGUCAUGGUUAAGUGGGAAACGAUGUGGGAAGGCCCAGACAGCCAGGAUGUUGGCUUAGAAGCAGCCAUCAUUUAAAGAAAGCGUAAUAGCUCACUGGUCGAGUCGGCCUGCGCGGAAGAUGUAACGGGGCUAAACCAUGCACCGAAGCUGCGGCAGCGANNNNNNNNNNNNNNNNNNNNNNNNNNNNNNNNNNNNNNNNNNNNNNNNNNNNNUGCUGGAGGUAUCAGAAGUGCGAAUGCUGACAUAAGUAACGAUAAAGCGGGUGAAAAGCCCGCUCGCCGGAAGACCAAGGGUUCCUGUCCAACGUUAAUCGGGGCAGGGUGAGUCGACCCCUAAGGCGAGGCCGAAAGGCGUAGUCGAUGGGAAACGGGUUAAUAUUCCCGUACUUGGUGUUACUGCGAAGGGGGGACGGAGAAGGCUAUGUUGGCCGGGCGACGGUUGUCCCGGUUUAAGCGUGUAGGUGUGUGUUCCAGGUAAAUCCGGUUCACUUUAACACUGAGGCGUGACGACGAGGCACUACGGUGCUGAAGCAACAAAUGCCCUGCUUCCAGGAAAAGCCUCUAAGCAUCAGGUAACACGAAAUCGUACCCCAAACCGACACAGGUGGUCAGGUAGAGAAUACCAAGGCGCUUGAGAGAACUCGGGUGAAGGAACUAGGCAAAAUGGUGCCGUAACUUCGGGAGAAGGCACGCUGACACGUAGGUGAAGUGAUUUACUCAUGGAGCUGAAGUCAGUCGAAGAUACCAGCUGGCUGCAACUGUUUAUUAAAAACACAGCACUGUGCAAACACGAAAGUGGACGUAUACGGUGUGACGCCUGCCCGGUGCCGGAAGGUUAAUUGAUGGGGUCAGCGCAAGCGAAGCUCCUGAUCGAAGCCCCGGUAAACGGCGGCCGUAACUAUAACGGUCCUAAGGUAGCGAAAUUCCUUGUCGGGUAAGUUCCGACCUGCACGAAUGGCGUAAUGAUGGCCAGGCUGUCUCCACCCGAGACUCAGUGAAAUUGAACUCGCUGUGAAGAUGCAGUGUACCCGCGGCAAGACGGAAAGACCCCGUGAACCUUUACUAUAGCUUGACACUGAACAUUGAGCCUUGAUGUGUAGGAUAGGUGGGAGGCUUUGAAGUGUGGACGCCAGUCUGCAUGGAGCCGACCUUGAAAUACCACCCUUUAAUGUUUGAUGUUCUAACGUGGACCCGUAAUCCGGGUUGCGGACAGUGUCUGGUGGGUAGUUUGACUGGGGCGGUCUCCUCCUAAAGAGUAACGGAGGAGCACGAAGGUUGGCUAAUCCUGGUCGGACAUCAGGAGGUUAGUGCAAUGGCAUAAGCCAGCUUGACUGCGAGCGUGACGGCGCGAGCAGGUGCGAAAGCAGGUCAUAGUGAUCCGGUGGUUCUGAAUGGAAGGGCCAUCGCUCAACGGAUAAAAGGUACUCCGGGGAUAACAGGCUGAUACCGCCCAAGAGUUCAUAUCGACGGCGGUGUUUGGCACCUCGAUGUCGGCUCAUCACAUCCUGGGGCUGAAGUAGGUCCCAAGGGUAUGGCUGUUCGCCAUUUAAAGUGGUACGCGAGCUGGGUUUAGAACGUCGUGAGACAGUUCGGUCCCUAUCUGCCGUGGGCGCUGGAGAACUGAGGGGGGCUGCUCCUAGUACGAGAGGACCGGAGUGGACGCAUCACUGGUGUUCGGGUUGUCAUGCCAAUGGCACUGCCCGGUAGCUAAAUGCGGAAGAGAUAAGUGCUGAAAGCAUCUAAGCACGAAACUUGCCCCGAGAUGAGUUCUCCCUGAGACUUAGAGUCUCCUGAAGGAACGUUGAAGACGACGACGUUGAUAGGCCGGGUGUGUAAGCGCAGCGAUGCGUUGAGCUA